GAUGAAGAACGUAGCGAAAUGCGAUACGUAAUGUGAAUUGCAGAAUUCAGUGAAUCAUCGAAUCUUUGAACGCAUAUUGCGCUCUUUGGUAUUCCGAAGAGCAUGCUUGUUUGAGUAUCAGUAAACACCUCAACCUCUUCUUGAUUUUUCAAAAGGAGGGUGGACUUGAGCUAUCCCAACAACCUUUACCGGUCGGCGGGCGGCUUGAAAUGCAGGUGCAGCUGGACUUUUAUCUGAGCUAAAAGCAUAUCUAUUUAGUCCUCGUCAAACAGGAUUAUUACUUUUGCUGCAGCUAACAUAAAGGAUAAUUGUCCUCUUUGCUGACUGGUGCAGGAUUUUACGACACUUUAUGUGUUGUUCAACUCGAUCUCAAAUCAAGUAAGACUACCCGCUGAACUUAAGCAUAUCAAUAAGCGGAGGA
rnacentral:misc_RNA from 1 species